rnacentral:tRNA from 1 species
GGAGAGGUGCCGGAGUGGUUUAACGGGGCGGUCUCGAAAACCGUUGUGGUACUUGUUGCCACCGAGAGUUCGAAUCUCUCCCUCUCCGCCA